UCCCGACACGGGGAGGUAGUGACAAUAAAUACUGAUACAGGGCUCUUUUGGGUCUUGUAAUUGGAAUGAGUACAAUUUAAACCUCUUAACGAGGAACAAUUGGAGGGCAAGUCUGGUGCCAGCAGCCGCGGUAAUUCCAGCUCCAAUAGCGUAUAUUAAAGUUGUUGCAGUUAAAAAGCUCGUAGUUGAAACUUGGGUCUGGCUGGCAGGUCCGCCUCACCGCGUGUACUUGUCCGGCCGGGCCUUCCUUCUGGAGAACCUCAUGCCCUUCACUGGGCGUGUUGGGGACCAGGACUUUUACUUUGAAAAAAUUAGAGUGUUCAAAGCAGGCCUUUGCUCGAAUACGUUAGCAUGGAAUAAUAGAAUAGGACGUGCGGUCCUAUUUUGUUGGUUUCUAGGACCGCCGUAAUGAUUAAUAGGGACAGUCGGGGGCAUCAGUAUUCAAUUGUCAGAGGUGAAAUUCUUGGAUUUAUUGAAGACUAACUACUGCGAAAGCAUUUGCCAAGGAUGUUUUCAUUAAUCAGUGAACGAAAGUUAGGGGAUCGAAGACGAUCAGAUACCGUCGUAGUCUUAACCGUAAACUAUGCCGACUAGGGAUCGGGCGAUGUUCUUUUUCUGACUCGCUCGGCACCUUACGAGAAAU
rnacentral:rRNA from 2 species